GAUCACUUCCAACAAUCAACAAUUUAUUCCUCAUGAAAAAAACCCUAGUGAUCUG
rnacentral:other from 1 species